ensembl:lncRNA
AAAUCAUGUUCCUGCAAUAAAAUGUUUUUUAAAUUAUUAUUAUUUUUUAGAUAUCCACAAACGAACAUACAAAUGUGAGUAAAAUACAAAAUAUUAAAUUUACAAUAACGAAUAAAGGAAGAGCCCCCCAUUAUGUUCGAAGGGGUGUUCCUGUCAGGGUUAAUGCUUAGGAGGGAUGGGUUUGGGAACACCUGGGCCUUGCUGGGGGAGAGGUGGCUGGGAGGCAGGAGGUUGGUUCCAAUUGUUGUUUUCUCCAUACCUAAGUGGCAUAUUAAAACUAAAAUCAACAUUAAAAAAUAAAAAAUACAACUAAGGUGUAUGUAAUAUGGACACUCUUCCCCCCCAAUUUGCUACGAUAAAGCAUUAAUACCUGGGUCCUGAUGUAGAGGAUGGUGGAUAUGUAGGCAUUGGCUGGAAACAGAUGAAGAGAGCAGAAUUACUACCACACGUAAACUGGUUAAUUAGUCAUGUACUGGAAAAGGUCCUAGGUCUGUUUGUGUUGUAUAGCCCACUCCCAUGACCAGGCUAGAUCUGUUUGUGUUGUAUAGCCCCCUCCCAUGACCAGGCUAGGUCUGUUUGUGUUGUAUAGCCCACUCCCAUGACCAGGCUAGAUCUGUUUGUGUUGUACAGCCCACUCCCAUGACCAGGCUAGAUCUGUUUGUGUUGUAUAGCCCACUCCCAUGACCAGGCUAGAUCUGUUUGUGUUGUAUAGACCACUCCCAUGACCAGGCUAGAUCUGUUUGUGUUGUAUAGACCACUCCCAUGACCAGGCUAGAUCUGUUUGUGUUGUAUAGCCCACUCCCAUGACCAGGCUAGAUCUGUUUGUGUUGUAUAGCCCACUCCCAUGACCAGGCUAGGUCUGUUUGUGUUGUAUAGCCCACUCCCAUGACCAGGCUAGAUCUGUUUGUGUUGUAUAGACCACUCCCAUGACCAGGCUAGAUCUGUUUGUGUUGUAUAGCCCACUCCCAUGACCAGGCUAGAUCUGUUUGUGUUGUAUAGCCCACUCCCAUGACCAGGCUAGA